CCUACGGGGUGCAGCAGUGGGGAAUAUUGCACAAUGGGGGAAACCCUGAUGCAGCGACGCCGCGUGAGUGAAGAAGUAUUUCGGUAUGUACCGCUCUAUCAGCAGGGAAGAAAAAAGACGGUACCUGACUAAGAAGCCCCGGCUAACUACGUGCCAGCAGCCGCGGUAAUACGUAGGGGGCAAGCGUUAUCCGGAUUUACUGGGUGUAAAGGGAGCGUGGACGGGGCGGCAAGUCUGAAGUGAAAGGCAGGGGGUUAACCCCUGAACUGCUUUGGAAACUGCCAGGCUAGAGUGCUGGAGAGGUAAGUGGAAUUCCGAGUGUAGCGGUGAAAUGCGUAGAUAUUAGGAGGAACACCAGUGGCGAAGGCGGCUUACUGGACAGUAACUGACGUUGAGGCUCGAAAGCGUGGGGAGCAAACAGGAUUAGAUACCCCUGUAGUC
rnacentral:rRNA from 1 species